UACGUAGGGGGCAAGCGUUGUCCGGAAUUACUGGGCGUAAAGCGCGCGCAGGCGGUUUUGCAAGCCGGAUGUGAAAUCCCCGGGCUUAACCUGGGAAUGGCAUUUGGGACUGCAAGGCUGGAGUGCGGCAGAGGAGACUGGAAUUCCUGGUGUAGCAGUGAAAUGCGUAGAUAUCAGGAGGAACACCGAUGGCGAAGGCAGGUCUCUGGGCUGACACUGACGCUCAUGCACGAAAGCGUGGGGAGCAAACAGG
rnacentral:rRNA from 1 species